rnacentral:lncRNA from 1 species
GUGGAAAAUGAAUUCAGCCUCAUUUGCAUGACUGAUAAGCAAAUUUUUUUUUUUUAUCUAUUUAACAGAAGGUCAUAUGCCGGGGAUUUGGAGCUGCUGAAAAAAAUGUGGAAAAAAAAGCAUAUCGAGAGGAUGAGUGGGAGUGCGUGCAUUAGAGGAUGUAUGUGGAAGUAAAACAGAUCCCUUAGGCCUGCUAGCCUAUCGUGCUGCAUUUGUCAUUCCUGCCCGGGCGACAUUUUUUUUUUCCCUUAAGCUUCUGCACACUAAACAGAGGGAGAGAGCUUUCCCCUGCACUCUUCUUGAAGUCCCCCUGCUUUUUACUCAGUUUUGGACACUGUGUGGAGUGCUUUGGGAAAGUAGAAGACAUGGUUCCUGUCCUCAAGUAACUUACCAUCUAUUUGAGAAGACAAGAGUGUUGCAUAGUGGAUAGAGGGCUGGACUUGGAGUCAGGAAUAUCUGGGUUUCAACCCUGACCCAGAAAUUUACUAGCUGUGUGACCUUGGGUAAGUCACUUUUUUCUGAACCUCAGUUUUCAUCUUUAAAAUAAAAUAUUGACCUCUAAGGUUCUUUUGAGCUAG